AGAGAUCAGAAAUAUGGUUGUGUGCAUGUAGGCGGAAGAAGAAGAAAUGAUAACGUGGUGUCUGAAAUAAAAAUAAAAUGCCAAACCAAUAUAGAGGUGCAAAGCAUUAGUAAUGGGAGGUGUAGGAAAUCAAAGCUGGUCCAGGCCCACACAGUCUCUUUUCUUCCUUCAUCACUCACACGAGGGGCUUCCCCUUCCCCAUCUUCAUCACAUGAGGGUAAUGGGAGCAACACCAACCCAGGCACACGCCACCAUCCACUAUGUCAGAGCCACACUGACGUGACUGGAGUUGCUUCUUAAAUUGCUGCUUACGCACACCAAAACGGGAGCCACUGCGGAUUUCCUUCUCCUUCCAAAUCUCGGGCGAUACCCCCAAUCGGCUAGCCAUGUGACUCCAGACUACGGUCGCGCCAUGGCCAUCGCACACCAUACUUCCACUGCGCCACUCUGAUCUCCUCCUCCUCUCUUCUCAGCCCCCUUUUGUUGCUGAUUUCUAGGUAUUGUAUGAAUAUUGAUGGAUAAACACCAGAGAACUGUUUGAUGAUGUAUGGAUGUUGUAAUUGGUGAUGAGGAAAACUGUUUGGUGUAUCUGUUACUCUUUGUUUUCAGGGAUUUGAAUUUCUCUCGUUUGUUGUUUUUUGUGUCCGAGUCCGACUAUGGUUCAGUCGUUAACUGCAUUGUGGUAUCCUUGUUUGCUUUGUUCCCCAUCUCAUUUGUGUUCAUUGAAAGCUCACUGCAAAUUCCGUUAGAGCUUUAUAGUCAAUCACAUGUAACAUUCCUCC